GUGGAGAGCUGGAUGGCCGCUUUGGCGGGGAUGACCUGCCGGAGAGGAAAGUCCGGACUCCCUGAAGCAACGGUGCCGGGUAACGCCCGGGCGGGGCAACCCGACGGACAGCGCCACAGAAAUCAGACCGCCACGCUUGCGUGGCAAGGGUGAAACGGUGGGGUAAGAGCCCACCGCGCCCCUGGCAACAGGGGCGGCACGGCAAGCCCCACCGGGAGCAAUGCCAAAUAGGAUCCCCGCGCGGGCCCGGUCGGCGCAAGCCGAGACCGCCGCAGGCCGCUUCAGCCGGGGGGAUCGGGUUGGCAGCUAAAGGCGUCUGGCAACAGCCGCCUGAGAGGAAUGGUCAUCCAUUCGCGACCCAAGGGUCACGGAGGACAGAAUCCGGCUUACAGGCUCUCCACGCGC
rnacentral:RNase_P_RNA from 1 species